AGAGCCCCGAGUGUCGGUUCACUGUGGAGACAGCGGUGGCGGAGUGGGUCUCCAGGGCUCUGGGCUGGCAAGGCCCCCGGAGGGGGUGGGGCGCGGAGGAGGCUACGGAUCCGCUUCCGCGCGGCGGGGCCGGGUGCUUGGGACGCGGCUCUGGGCUCCCGGGAUAAGGGGCUCCCGGGACAAGGGGCUCCCGGAGAGCCCAGUGGUUAGCGAUGCUGCUGUCGCCGUCGCUGCUGCUGCUGCUGCUGCUGGGGGCGCCGCGGGGCUGCGCCGAGGGUGUGGCGGCGGCGCUUACCCCCGAGCGGCUCCUGGAGUGGCAGGAUAAAGGAAUAUUUGUUAUCCAAAGUGAGAGUCUCAAGAAAUGCAUUCAAGCAGGUAAAUCGGUUCUGACCCUGGAGAACUGCAAGCAAGCAAACAAGCACAUGCUGUGGAAAUGGGUUUCAAACCAUGGCCUCUUUAACAUAGGAGGCAGUGGUUGCCUGGGCCUGAAUUUCUCCGCCCCAGAGCAGCCAUUAAGCUUAUAUGAAUGUGACUCCACCCUCGUUUCCUUACGGUGGCGCUGUAACAGGAAGAUGAUCACAGGCCCGCUGCAGUACUCUGUCCAGGUGGCGCAUGACAACACAGUGGUGGCCUCACGGAAGUAUAUUCAUAAGUGGAUUUCUUAUGGGUCAGGUGGUGGAGACAUUUGUGAAUAUCUACACAAAGAUUUGCAUACAAUCAAAGGGAACACCCACGGGAUGCCGUGUAUGUUUCCCUUCCAGUAUAACCAUCAGUGGCAUCAUGAAUGUACCCGUGAAGGUCGGGAAGAUGACUUACUGUGGUGUGCCACGACAAGCCGUUAUGAAAGAGAUGAAAAGUGGGGAUUUUGCCCUGAUCCCACCUCUGCAGAAGUAGGUUGUGAUACUAUUUGGGAGAAGGACCUCAAUUCACACAUUUGCUACCAGUUCAACCUGCUUUCAUCUCUCUCUUGGAGUGAGGCACAUUCUUCAUGCCAGAUGCAAGGAGGUACGCUGUUAAGUAUUACAGAUGAAACUGAAGAAAAUUUCAUAAGGGAGCACAUGAGCAGUAAAACAGUGGAGGUGUGGAUGGGCCUCAAUCAGCUGGAUGAACACGCUGGCUGGCAGUGGUCUGAUGGAACGCCGCUCAACUAUCUGAAUUGGAGCCCAGAGGUAAAUUUUGAGCCAUUUGUUGAAGAUCACUGUGGAACAUUUAGUUCAUUUAUGCCAAGUGCCUGGAGGAGUCGGGAUUGUGAGUCCACCUUGCCAUAUAUAUGUAAAAAAUAUCUAAACCACAUUGAUCAUGAAAUAGUUGAAAAAGAUGCGUGGAAAUAUUAUGCUACCCACUGUGAGCCUGGCUGGAAUCCCUACAAUCGUAAUUGCUACAAACUUCAGAAAGAAGAAAAGACCUGGCAUGAGGCUCUGCGUUCUUGUCAGGCUGAUAACAGUGCAUUAAUAGACAUAACCUCAUUAGCAGAGGUGGAGUUUCUUGUAACCCUCCUUGGAGAUGAAAAUGCAUCAGAAACAUGGAUUGGUUUGAGCAGCAAUAAAAUUCCAGUUUCCUUUGAAUGGUCUAAUGACUCUUCAGUCAUCUUUACUAAUUGGCACACACUUGAGCCCCACAUUUUUCCAAAUAGAAGCCAGCUGUGUGUCUCAGCAGAGCAGUCUGAGGGACACUGGAAAGUCAAAAAUUGUGAAGAAAGACUUUUUUACAUUUGUAAAAAAGCAGGCCAUGUCCUCUCUGAUGCUGAAUCAGGAUGUCAAGAGGGAUGGGAGAGACAUGGUGGAUUCUGUUACAAAAUUGACACAGUCCUUCGAAGCUUUGACCAAGCUUCCAGCGGUUAUUACUGUCCUCCUGCACUUGUAACCAUUACAAACAGGUUUGAACAGGCUUUUAUUACCAGUUUGAUCAGUAGUGUGGUAAAAAUGAAGGACAGUUAUUUUUGGAUAGCUCUUCAGGACCAAAAUGAUACGGGAGAAUACACUUGGAAGCCAGUAGGGCAGAAACCCGAGCCGGUGCAGUACACACACUGGAACACACACCAGCCGCGCUACAGUGGUGGCUGUGUUGCCAUGCGAGGAAGGCAUCCACUUGGUCGCUGGGAAGUGAAGCACUGUCGGCACUUUAAGGCAAUGUCCUUGUGCAAGCAGCCAGUUGAAAAUCAGGAAAAAGCAGAGUAUGAAGAGAGAUGGCCCUUUCACCCCUGCUAUUUGGACUGGGAGUCAGAGCCUGGUCUGGCCAGUUGCUUCAAGGUAUUUCAUAGUGAAAAAGUUCUGAUGAAAAGAACAUGGAGAGAAGCUGAAGCAUUUUGCGAAGAAUUUGGAGCUCAUCUUGCAAGCUUUGCCCAUAUUGAGGAAGAGAAUUUUGUGAAUGAGCUCUUACAUUCAAAAUUUAAUUGGACAGAAGAAAGGCAGUUCUGGAUUGGAUUUAAUAAAAGAAACCCACUGAAUGCCGGCUCAUGGGAGUGGUCUGAUAGAACUCCUGUUGUCUCUUCGUUUUUAGACAACACUUAUUUUGGAGAAGAUGCAAGAAACUGUGCUGUUUAUAAGGCAAACAAAACAUUGCUGCCCUUACACUGUGGUUCCAAACGUGAAUGGAUAUGCAAAAUCCCAAGAGAUGUGAAACCCAAGAUUCCGUUCUGGUACCAGUACGAUGUACCCUGGCUCUUUUAUCAGGAUGCAGAAUACCUUUUUCAUACCUUUGCCUCAGAAUGGUUGAACUUUGAGUUUGUCUGUAGCUGGCUGCACAGUGAUCUUCUCACAAUUCAUUCUGCACAUGAGCAAGAAUUCAUCCACAGCAAAAUAAAAGCGCUAUCAAAGUAUGGUGCAAGUUGGUGGAUUGGACUUCAAGAAGAAAGAGCCAAUGAUGAAUUUCGCUGGAGAGAUGGAACACCAGUGAUAUACCAGAACUGGGACACAGGAAGAGAAAGAACUGUGAAUAAUCAGAGCCAGAGAUGUGGCUUUAUUUCUUCUAUAACAGGACUCUGGGGUAGUGAAGAGUGUUCAGUUUCUAUGCCUAGUAUCUGUAAGCGAAAAAAGGUUUGGCUCAUAGAGAAAAAGAAAGAUACACCAAAACAACAUGGAACGUGUCCCAAAGGAUGGCUAUAUUUUAACUAUAAGUGCCUUCUGCUGAAUAUCCCCAAAGACCCAAGCAGUUGGAAGAACUGGACGCAUGCUCAACAUUUCUGUGCUGAAGAAGGGGGGACCCUGGUCGCCAUUGAAAGUGAGGUGGAGCAAGCUUUCAUUACUAUGAAUCUUUUUGGCCAGACCACCAGUGUGUGGAUAGGUUUACAAAAUGAUGAUUAUGAAACAUGGCUAAAUGGAAAGCCUGUGGUAUAUUCUAACUGGUCUCCAUUUGAUAUAAUAAAUAUUCCAAGUCACAAUACCACUGAAGUUCAGAAACACAUUCCUCUCUGUGCCUUACUCUCAAGUAAUCCUAAUUUUCAUUUCACUGGAAAAUGGUAUUUUGAAGACUGUGGAAAGGAAGGCUAUGGGUUUGUUUGUGAAAAAAUGCAAGAUACUUCUGGACACGGUGUAAAUACAUCUGAUAUGUAUCCAAUGCCCAAUACCUUAGAAUAUGGAAACAGAACUUACAAAAUAAUUAAUGCAAAUAUGACUUGGUAUGCAGCAAUAAAAACCUGCCUGAUGCACAAAGCACAACUGGUCAGCAUCACAGACCAGUAUCACCAGUCCUUCCUCACUGUUGUCCUCAACCGGCUAGGAUAUGCCCACUGGAUUGGACUGUUCACCACAGAUAAUGGUCUUAAUUUUGACUGGUCUGAUGGCACCAAAUCUUCUUUCACUUUUUGGAAAGAUGAGGAGUCCUCCCUCCUUGGUGACUGCGUUUUUGCCGACAGCAACGGACGCUGGCAUAGCACAGCCUGCGAGUCAUUUCUGCAAGGUGCCAUUUGUCAUGUGCCACCUGAAACAAGACAAUCUGAACACCCAGAGUUGUGCUCAGAAACAUCUAUUCCCUGGAUAAAAUUUAAAAGUAAUUGCUACAGUUUUUCUACAGUCCUAGACAGUAUGAGUUUUGAGGCUGCUCAUGAAUUUUGCAAAAAGGAAGGUUCUAAUCUUUUAACAAUCAAGGAUGAGGCUGAAAAUGCAUUUCUCCUAGAAGAGCUGUUUGCUUUUGGUUCUUCUGUCCAGAUGGUUUGGUUGAAUGCUCAAUUUGAUGGUAACAAUGAAACCAUAAAGUGGUUUGAUGGAACUCCCACAGACCAGUCAAACUGGGGCAUUCGGAAGCCAGACACAGACUACUUCAAGCCCCAUCAUUGUGUUGCCUUGAGGAUCCCUGAAGGAUUAUGGCAGCUAUCCCCGUGUCAAGAAAAAAAAGGCUUUAUAUGUAAAAUGGAGGCAGAUAUUCACACUGCAGAGGCGCUGCCAGAAAAAGGACCAAGUCACAGCAUCAUUCCUCUUGCGGUUGUACUGACACUGAUAGUCAUUGUGGCCAUUUGCACACUUUCCUUCUGCAUAUACAAGCAUAACGGUGGCUUCUUCAGGAGACUUGCAGGGUUUCGGAAUCCUUACUAUCCUGCAACCAACUUUAGUACAGUAUAUUUAGAAGAAAAUAUUCUCAUUUCUGAUCUUGAGAAGAGUGACCAAUAAUAAUGAGGUCAGAGAAUGCCACAGACACCAGGAAAAAAGUGUACUGAGCAUGGUGGCACGCACCUGUAGUCCCAGCUACUUAGGAGGCUGAGGGAAGAGGAUCAACUGAGCCCAGAAGUUGAAGGCUGCAGUGAGCUAUGGUUGCACCACUGCACUCCUGCCUGGGCAACUGAAUGAGACCCCACCUCAAAAAAGUGCUGUUCUAGAAACAGAGGUACUAAGGUGAGCAACUUGGGGUAAGGGCUAUCUUUUCAUGCCACUUAUUUUCUAAUGAGGGAAAAUUGACAGUAACUCAGUAAAGAAAUGCAUAUGCAUAAAAUAGCAAGUGGUUAUGAAAAUGAAGUAAGGUUCCAUGAUAGAGAGAAACUGGGGGACUCUCAGGGCCUCCCUGAGAGUGUGCAUUUUAAUUAUUACAACCAACUGCCUCAAAACCAGUGGCCACUAAUCACAAGGGGGAGCUCUGAGAGAAAGUAUGAAUGAAUUUCUAAGAGGCAAACCAUCAUCAUUAGAAAUACAAUUUGAAGAGCAUACCACUAAGAAUGGAAUCCUUGUGGCCUGCAACAGUUAAUCCAGCUUCCAAAAGCAGCUCUUUGCUACUGUUAUAAUAAUUUACACACUGGGACAGUCUACCUCCAUAAUUUUUUUAAGUAUUGGGACUUCAUUUUUUAAAAGAUAUUAUAUUAUGUGGCAGUUGCAUAUUUAUGACUCAAAAAAUAAUUGGCUUGAACUCACCAGAUGGUAUAAAAGCCCAAUUUAACCAUCUUUUGAGUGGAAUUAAAGUUCUGUUCUUUUCAAUGGACUUGGUAAAAACUGCUAAUCAACCAGCCUUCCAGUCAAGGUAUAUAGUCACACAUAAUAAUUUGACAAAAUACACCAUUAGGAAAGUGAUUUUGCAGAAAGAAGCUGUAUUGCUUCUCAGUGCUCCAUACUUUGAUGUUUAGUAUUGAACAACAUCUCCAGAUAAUCUGGACCCAUGGACAGAUCACACACUUCUUGCCAUUACUGAAUUUGCAGAAAUAGUACUGAAGUAUUCUGCUACAUUUUUAUAUUUGCAUUUUUUUUGAAACUUUUUUUCAUUUUUUUUUUUUUUUUUUGGAGAUGGAGUCUUGCUCUGUUGCCAGGCAGGAGUACAGUGGCAUGAUCUCAGCUCACUGCAACCUUCAACUGCCUGGUUCGAGCAAGUUUCCUGCCUCAGCCUCCCGAGUAGCUGUGAUUACAGGCACAUGCCACCAUGCCCAGCUAAUUUUUGUAUUUUUAGUAGAGACAGGGUUUCACCAUGUUGUCCAGGAUGGUCUCGAUCUCCUGAUCUCGUGAUCCACCCGCCCCAGCCUCCCAAAGUGCUAAGAUUACAGGCAUGAGCCACCGCACCUGGCCUCAUCUGUAUUUUUAAUGUGAACUAGAUUUUAUAGCUAUAAUUCGAAAAGAAAAAAAAGUAGCAGGUAAUGGGUAUAUUAUACACUAUUUGCGUGAUGGUUACACCAGACUUUACCACUACAUACUGUAUUUAUGUAACAAAAUUACACUUGUACUCCUUACAUUUAUGCCAAAAAAGCGGCAGGAUCACAAAUUCACACAUAGUUAAUGUGCCCCUCCAACAGUCAAUUAUGUUCUAUGACUAACCUGAGGAUCUUUAUAGAAUCUGAGUAAUGGAAAUGCCUGGGUUUUUCCAUUUAACAAUAUAUUGGGCUCUUACAGUUACAACAGUCUUCUUUCGGGUUAAAUAUUUCUUCUCUUGAAGGGUCCACUCCUUAUUAAAGAUAAGAUUGAACUGAAUGUUUACUUAAACGUUCAGUCUUUUGGAGUUUCUUUACUCUUCUCAAAAUGGUGGUUGGAUAUAUAAGAACUUGCUGUGUCCUGGUAGUGUUGAGGGGAGAAGGUGACAACUUACUGUGGAUGUAUGUUAGCUGGUGUCCACUGAGAAUAGCUGUCUGGCCUCACUCCUGGGAAUUCUGCUGGCAUCUGCUGUGAAGUCUGCAGUUGCUUUAAUCUGUAGUCUGUUCUCUUUGAUUUGGCCUCAUUCUGGCUGUCCCUGGUGCUGUCUUAUCUCUUGAGAACUGGCUGUGUCUCCUGUUGAAUUCCCUAUCCGAACACUGCAGUUCUUGGCUACAAGGCAGUCACUUCACCCCUGCAGUGGUGAGAUCCCAUUAGCUACCAUUAGCUACUCUUUUCGUCCAGAAAGGCGAAAUGCCAUAGCAAACAAUCCCACAGUCUUGGUGGAUUAACACAGCAAAGGUUUAUUUCUCACCCACACCUGCAUGGGCUGGCAAGAGGACUUUGCUCUGUUCAGUCAUUCAUGGGUCCAUGCUUCUCCUAUAUAGCCAGCCCUCUGUCUCCUAAGGCCUGGAGUCCUCCAUGGGCCUCCAAUCUGUGGCUGACAGAGGAUGUUGACUUGAGACCCAUCUUUGAUUCAUUAUGGAGCUUCCACAGGCUGUUGAAAUCCUCUAAGUCAAAAGUCCUCAAACUGGGGACACAUGCCUAAGGAAUACAGGAGCAUGGGUAUUUAAGAAACUUAAUUUCCAGAAUCUUCAUGUAUAUUUUUUCUUAAAACUGAUUUACCUGAGAGCACCCCUGGUUCUUCUUUCCCACCUCUCUUUACACAAAUGCCUUUCUCUACCUUUAAAAAGAAAAAGAAAAAGAAAUGGCUUUCAUUUCAGAUCUUACUAUGGGAAAAUCCUCCAUGGCUCCAAAGAAAAAUAUUCGAAGUAUUGAUGUCAGUGAAGCUUCUUUUAAUAAAGAAAUUGUAAACUCAUUCUGUAGAUCCUCACGUCUUUCUCUGUGUUAGGACAUUUUUCUGUUAAAGUUGAAGCGAUGACUUAGAAAUGAGUUAUUUUGCCCCAUGUUCAUAUUCUGAAUUAAUAUGUAUUAUACAGUGGAACAGCUGGAGUGCUACUUUCAUUUGAAAAUUUAUCUCAUCCACUGCCUGACUAUUGUCAGAGAACAAGCUGUAGAAAAAGUCUGGUGAAAGCAAAGUGAAGCAUGUGUUGCCAAGAACCUAACAUCUUAUGUUAUCCAGAAGAAAGUCCCAAGGCUUGAUUUAUCUUAGAUUUCUAUGUGAGUUGUGAGGAUGAGUAUUAACAAGCUUAUUUGAACUGAAAAAUGAAUUCAGACCUUUUCUGAAGUUUUUUUUAUUUGGCUCAUUGGUUUGACAACAAGGAUUGACUUUACCCAUUAAGUUUUAUGAUGAACAUUUUGUAUUAAUUGAAUGAACUAAAUCUGCUGCUCUUGUGUUCUGAUUAAAGCUUGUAAUAGGGUAAAGGCAUUUUAAUAGAAAAAUAGUAUUGACUGAACUAUAAUGAAGUGAUAUUUUACUUUUCCCAGCCUUCAUUUGUAUAUCAGGUAAAGCAAGAUGCCUGUAAGUGAAAGAGUAACAGGCAUAAUGAACAGUUAUUUGAAGAGUCUUAGUAAAGCCUUUUAAUUUUACUUGUAGGAAAUUGACAUGAAUCAUUCUAAUGACUGGGUAACAAAUCACUUUGCAAGUAGGGUGUUUCCACUUCUAUGCUUUAAAAAAAACUGAAGGAGAACAUAAUCAAGCAGUUGGUUGAUAUAGAAAAUAAUUUUUAAUGUAGAAUCACUGAUUUUUUGGCACCUAUGAGAAAGGAAUUCAAGUAAUAGAGGGAUAUUGUUAUAACAAACCUCCUUUUAUUCCCAUCUACUUAUUUAUAUGAACAAAGUUUCUAUGUUAAGAUAAGUUAGAGAGUGCUGUGGAAACAAACCCUGUAAUACUAGUGGUUAAAAACAAAACUCAGAAGUUAAUUUAUUGAUCAUGCGAAGCCUGCUAUGGUCAGGACACUUGCCUCCAAGCAGUAACUCACAGAUCCAGGCUGUGUCCUACCUCCAGAACAUGGGGCUUCCAGUGCUGCUAUGGCACUAGAGAACUGUUAAGUUCCCAGGUUUAGGAAGAAACACGUGGCACUUCCACUCGCGUGUCAUUGGCUGGAACUAGUCACAUGACCUAACCUAACUGAAAGGAAAUCCAGGAAGUCUUCUGCUUUGUGUGCUCAGGAAAGAGAGGAUAAGGGACUACAGACAGCACCAGCAAUUGCUACCAGAGUUUCUCAACAUGUAUAGCUACAAAAAAAGAAGAGAGAGAACAGAAUUGAUGCUGAACCUUGAUUUAUACUAGCAGUUUUUAAUACUAAUUAAUUUUUAUCUAUGAUAUAUCCAUUUCAUUAACAGAUCCAUUUGCUAUCAUUUUAGUUUGACAUAUACUAUCUUAAUCUUUGUAACAUAUUUAUUUUGUUCUGAUCAAUUGUAUACUAACAAUAAUUGAAAUGACAACUCAAUAUAGAAGAAAAUGUGUAAUACUUAGAGCCUAUGUUCACAGGGACUUCUUAAAAAAUAAUUUUAGGCUGGGCGCGGUGGCUCACGCCUGUAAUCCCAGCAACUUUGGGAGGCCGAGGCGGGUGGAUCACGAGGUGAGGAGAUCGAGACCAUCCUGGCUAACAAGGUGAAACCCCGUCUCUACUAAAAAUACAAAAAAAUUAGCUGUGUGUUGCGGCGGGUGCCUGUAUUCCCAGCUACUCGGGAGGCUGAGGCAGGAGAAUGGCAUGAACCUGGAAGUCGGAGCUUACAGUGAGCCGAGAUGGCGCCACUGCACUCCAGCCUGGGCGACAGAGCGAGACUCUCUCUCAAAAAAAAAAAAAAAAAAAAAAAAUUAAUUUAUAUACAUAUUUUUACUGCAGGAAAAUAUGACAAGGUAAUGAAUAAAAUAUUUCACAAAUUAAAGUAUAUCUCAUUAGGAUAAAAUUCUGUGGGGGAGUUGGAAUGGAAAUACAAGAUUGAAAGAAAGUAAUAUCUCUGACUGCUGAAGAGGUUAUUUCUAUUUUUAAAUAGAUUAUGAUAGAAUUCAAAUUGUUGUAGUAUCUCCAGUCAAAGGAACUUAGGCUUCUUGAGAAAGUGGUUGAUUGCAGGUCUAAGGCAGGAAAAUACAAGAUGAAACUGGAAUAUCUUGUGAUGGCAGAAAAUAAGGAGGUGCUCACAAAAAGAUGGCACAUGUCUGAAGGCUACAGGAACCAACCUGAAGGAGCUCUCCAGUGGAAAUGCUGGAACAAUUUGAGCAAACAAUAAAAAAUUAUAAUAUUGGAUUAUAACCCACACAAUAAAUAUCUGUGUGUCCAUACUGAUGUAAACAAUUGAAUGAGUGAAUGAAUGAAUGAAAAGAAGAAACAGUUCUUCUCCCCAGUAAAUUCCAAUUGAUAAAUGUAGAAGAAAUGGGAGAAACAAAAAUCACUAUCAGGAAAACACAACAGUAAUAAUUGUUGGCAAGACCUACCAGUUGGUGCAAAAGUUAGUGGGUGAAUGUUUGAGGAAAAACAGAAUAUUUGCAUAACCUUAGAGUAUUUUCCCCAAAAUAAUCACUAAUUACAAAGAGAAAGUAAUAACUUUACAGUAGAGAAACUUCUUUAAUCAAGGGAUCAAGGUUAACAGAAGCAGUAAUAAGCCACAUCAGCAUCAUGUACCCCCUGGUAUGGCAUUGAGAAGGGCACAUGACUUCUUUGGUAUCCUCCCCAAAAUGCAUAAUCUCAAUCAUGAAAAAACAUUAGACAAAUCCAAGUUGAGGGACAUUCCACAAGAUAAAUGAUCACUUCAAAAGUGUCCUGGUCAUGAAAGAUAAGGAAAGAUUGAGGAAAUGUCAAGGAUUGGAGGACACUAAAGAGACAUGACAACUACGUGCAAGUUGAAAUCCUCAAAUGGAUCAUGGAACAGAAAAUGGUCAUUAUGGGAAAAUGGGAAAGUAAAAUAAAGUCUAUGGUUUAAUUAAUAGUAUUGUACCAGUAUUAGUUUCUUUGUUUUGAUGAUUAUACCAUGGUUUUAUGAGAUGUACCAUUAGAAGAAGCUGAAGGAGGCUGUACAGGAACUCUCUGGACUAAGUUGGCAAUUUUUCUGUAAACCUAAAAUCAUUUCAAUAUAAAAAGUUAACAUUUUGCUAUGAUAUUAGACACCACUGGAUAUAUUAAAAGGGUGAUAAGGCACUUUUAUUUUUACAUGUUGUUAUUUAUAAUAUUCUGAAAAUUGCAUCCUAAUUAUAAAAAAUUUUGGCUGUCAACUUAGAAAUUCGUGAAGCAAUAUGCCUUCUUUCAUGAUUCUUUUAACAAUUUUGUAUGCUAGCCAAAAAGUUUGAGGACCACUGCUAUAUGACAUUUUUUCUCUCAUGUCUCAGAUGAGAAGCAGGGCAAAACCCUGUGUGUCUCCAACUUACCUAACACACCAUCCGCUGUAGGAUUAGGAGCCAGACACGUCUUGCUGCAGGCCAUGCUCACUUCCAUCUGCUCUCUUUUCCCUGCAUUCUUCUUUUGUGUCACUUCCCUGACUUGUCAGUACUUCUAAUUCUCAUAGUCCUGCUAUCCCCUACAACCUCGUGCCUUAGUAUUAAUAGGGUACAGCAGGGAAAAACUCACUUAGUUUCCAUUUUGUUCUUGGAGAAGAAAAAUUUGGAGACAUUUCCAAAAUGGCAUGUACAUCAUAAUUCUUAUUGCCAACAUUUAUAAGAAACUUUGACUGUAGUGAUUAUCAAGAUACAUGCUUGGAAUAUUUAUUCCCUCUUUCCCCACCUUUCAAAAUAAGGAUUUAGAGCAGGAGUUGGCAGGGCCAAAUCCAGCCUGCAGCCUAUUUUGGAAAUAAAGUUAUUGGGAUGCUGCCAUCCCCAUUCACUCACAUACUGUGCAUGACUGCUUUCAUGCUUCCAUGACAGAGCUGAGUGGUUGCAACAGAGACCGAAUGGCCUGCAAAGCCUAAAAUAUUUACUUUCUGGACCCUUACAGGAAGUUUGCCAACCCCUGAUUUAGAAAGUGAAAACCUAAAUGGGGAAGUCUUACAUACUUUAACGUAUCUUAGCAAGCACUGUUAUGUUAAUGUAUAUGGACAGCACUUAAAAUAUAUCAAUAAACAAUUAUGAUCAGUAAACAUUUAUUUAGAGCCUAUUGUGGCCCAGAGAGUGUCCUGUGCUCAGAGGCUAUAAAUACCAAUAACACCCCAUCUCUCCCCUCAUGGAACUCAGUCUCAGGGGAGAGGAAUAUGUAAAUGAUAAGUGCAAUGCAAUGUGACAUAAAUAAUAUCAAGAAGAAGAGAAUCAGAAAAAAAAGGAGAGGGGACUGAUUAAUUCUGUCAGAAGUAGAGAAAGGCUUAACAAGAUAAGUGAUAUGUAUUAAAUUGUAGGAAAUGUUAGAUAAACAGCUUUCUUUAGUAUUUUUUGAGUUAGAAAGCAAGUUUUUAGCUUGGGGUCAGAAUAUUUUUAGAGAAAAAGUUUAAAAUGUGCCUAAAUCUGAAAUUCUGGAUUUAAAAAAGUGAAAAUCUGCAUGUUCCUCUAAUACCUAAUGACGAAUUCUAAUUGCAGAAGGAUGCCAAUAACUAAAACCACAAAAUGAACCCUAUGUAUACCGGUGACCUUCUUUACUCAGAAUUAAUUAACACAAGCACUUGUUUCUUGCAGAGCACUUUGCUGUAAUUUAGAACAAAUUAAGGGAAAAAAUCAUUCAAGUGCUGUUUUCUUCACACCAUGAAUAUACAGAGCUUGGUAGGAGCUGGAAACCCGACUCACAGAUUUAGGAAACAGUGGGUUCUUGUCCCUGUGGACAUCAGAACUUGGGGGACGGAGAGAUAGAGAACCAGAAGGCAGAACAAGGAAAAACUCAAAGAAAGGAAUGGGGAGGAAUGGAAACGUAACAGGACAUGUUGCCUCAGUGAGUCACCAAGGGCUUUGGAGUUCUUAGCCCAAAAUGUGGUUCUGUGGAGGCUGAGGACAAACUUCAGGACAGAGCAUGCCUUAAUCGAUGUGCUAAGCCACUGGCUCGGGCAGUCCUUAAGCAAGGGCUCCUCUGAUCAGACAAGGAAUUGUUUCCUUCCCUUUUACUCCAGAUGACACCUAAAGGUGCAAAAGAAAACCAUCUCUGCACACUACCAAACAGACAGUGCGUGAACGAAGCAGACCCUCCUGACCACAGCCAAGGACUGGAGAGCUUGGUGAAACUGGUGCUCAAGGUAGAAAUUCCCUGCGAUUGCUACUGCAACUUAUACUAAACGUCCCAAGUGAAGUGAAGGGAGAAAAAAGAGAUAUUAAGCAAGAAGGCCCACUUGUUUAUGCAUUGCUUUAGAAGAUAAUCUGUAAUUGCAUAUUAAUAAGUAAAGUUAACGUUACACUUAAAUAAUAACCUAUAUUUGUUACUGCAUUUGAAUCACUCUUAUCUGACUUAGUUGGUCAGGAAAUCAAAAAAGUCAGUUAAAGGAAGGAAUCAUAAGAAUUGUUUUAACAUUAGUUUAAACAUUUUAUUUUCUAUUAGAACACAUAAACGUACAUUUAUCCACUAAUCUUUUGGUGUAGGGACAAUGUCAUUCCUUUUAAUAUUCCUUCCUGUUGGUUUUAUGCAUAAAGUAUAUCUAUAAGGUGUUGUUCACAAUCUCUGGUUUUUCGUAAAUGAAAAUGAAACCCUGUCUCUGAAAAAAAUACAAAAAAGUUAGUAGAGUGUGGUGGUGCAUGCCUGUAGUACAGCUACUUGGGAGGCUGAGCCGGGGGAGAUUGAGAUUGCAGUGAGCUGUGAUUGCACCACUGCACUCCAGCCUGGGCAACAGAGUGAGACCCUGUCUCAAAAAUAAAGAUAGCUGUAGAACAAUUUGAGUGCAAGCCCCAAAUGUGUAUAACUUUCCUCAAUAUCUGUAGUUGUCUUGCUCAAUAAUAGCUCACUGCAAUGUCAAACUCCUGGACUCUAGCAAGCUUUCUCCCUCAGCCUCCUGAGUAGCUGGGCCCGCAGGCACAUACCACCAUGCCCACCUUAUUAUUUAAAAAAACUUUUGUGGAGACGGGGUCUCACUCUGUUACCCAGGCUGGUCUCAAACUCCUGACCUCAAGUAGUCCUCCCUCCUCACCCUGUCAAAGUGCUAGGAUUGUAGGCAUGAACCAUUGCACCUGGCCCUAUUUUAUGUUUUACAAACUGUAUAAUUACAAUGUCUAGUACAAUUGGCAUUAACGGAUUUCGGAACAAACACAACCAACUGGUGCUAAGCGUAUGAGGGAACCCAUGGGUGGAGCAGCCUGGACUGCCUUAUUUCACAGGUAGCUUGGCUGGUCCCACAGCACAGGUAAGUGGUAAGCUGCGGCUUCAGCUGUUCGUGUUUGAGACUUAUUCCAUGUACAGAAAGUUAGACUUUCCCUCAGAACUGAACUCUGGAAUCCACACAGAAUAGAUCUGAGCAUAAAUAAGCAAGAAAGAAAGAGAAUAGCUCCCCAGGCCACCUGUCAGAUUGGAACUUGAUUUAACUUGUCUGAAAAAGGAAAUCACGGAGGUGCUGAGGAAGGAGUGGGAAGAGAAACAGUCCCCUAUGGAAGCAGGCUCAGAGACAGGUGUCCUCAGCAGUUUUGGGAGAAGGGACUUGCACUUCCAAAGCCAAGGCUCCUAGGGAUAUGGCUAAAUGAUUUUAGGGUUCCAAGGACAUCCCUGUGGUGAGGUGGAUACAUCAUUAGGAUCUGCUGUAAGCACAACUUCCUUCAUUUCAUUUCCGUGUUCACCAAAAAUCUCUAGCUAGGAUUUAAGUCCUCCGUGUAGGCGUGUCUGGCACUGAGAGAAAGUCUGACUCCGACUUUGAGUAUAUUAGACCCCUAGGAGGAUCUAAUAAUUUCCAAGGGGUUUGGGGGGAACAGGUGGUGUUUGGUUACAUGAGUAAGUUUUUUAGUGGUGAUUUCUGAGAUUUUUGGUGCACCCAUCAUGCAAGCAGUGUACGCUGUAACCAAUGUGUAGUCUUUUUUUUUUUUUUUGAGACGGAGUCUCGCUCUGUCUCCCAGGCUGGAGUGUAGUGGCACAAUCCCUGCUCACUGCAAGCUCUGCCUCCCAGGUUCACGCCAUUCUCCUGCCUCAGCCUGCCAAGUAGCUGGGACUACAGGCGCGUGCCACCAUGCCUGGCUAAUUUUUUGUAUUUUUAGUAGAGACGGGGUUUCACCGUGUUAGCCAGGAUGGCCUCGAUCUCCUGACCUCGUGAUCCACCCGCCUUGGCCUCCCAAAGUGCUGGGAUUACCGGCGUGAGCCACCGCGCCUGGCCACCAAUGUGUAGUCUUUUAUCCCUCAUCUCUCUCCCACCCUUCCCCCUGAGUCCCCAAAGUCCAUCAUAUCAUUCUUAUGCCUUUGGGUCCUCAUAGCUUAGCUCCCACUUAUGAGUGAGAACAUACGACGUUUGGUUUUCCAUUCCUGAGUGACUUCACUUAGAAUAAUUGUCUCCAAUUCCAUCCAGGUCACUGCGAAUGCCAUUAUUUCAUUCCUUUUUAUGGCUGAUUAGUAUUCAUAUAUAUAUAUAUACACACACACACACACACACAAAUAUAUAAUACAUAUACAUGCACAUAUAUAUACAUAUACAUAUAGAUAUAUACAUAUACAUAUACAAUUUCUUUAUCCACUCAUUGAUUGAUGGGCAUUUGGGCUGGUCCCACAUUUUUGCAAUUGCGAAUUGUGCUGCUAUGAACAUGCGUGUACAAGUUAUCUUUUUGGUAUAAUGUCAUCUUUUCCUCUGGGUAGACAGCCAGUAGUGGGAUUGCUGGAUCGAAUGGUAGUUCUACCUUUAGUUCUUAAAGGAAUCUCCACACUGUUUUCCAUAGUGGUUGUACUAGUUUACAUUCCCACCAGCAGUGUAAAAGUGUUCCCUUUUCACCACAUCCACACCAACAUCUAUUUUUUUAUAUUUUUUUGGUUAUGGCCAUUCUUGCAGGAGUAAAGUGGUAUCACAUUAUGGUUUCAAUUUGCAUUUCCCCUGAUCAUCAGUGAUGUCGAGCAUUUUUUCAUAUGUUUGUUGGCCAUUUGUGUAUCUUCUUUUGAGAAUUGUGUAUUCAUGUCCUUAGUCCACUUUUUGGUGGGAUUGUUUUUUCCUUGCUAAUUUGUUUGAGUUCCAUGUCGAUUCUGGAUGUUAGUCCUUUGUCAGAUGUAUAUAUUGUGAAGAUUUUCUCCCACUCUGUAGGUUGUCUGUGUACUCUGCUGAUUGUUUCUUUUGCUGUGCAGAAGCUCUUUAGUUUAAUUAAGUCUUGUCUAUUUAUCUUUGUUUUUGUUGCAUUUGCUUUUGGGUUCUUGGUCAUGAAGUCUUUGCCUAAGCCAAUGUCUAGAAGGGUUUUUCCAAUGUUAUCUUCUAGAAUGUUUAUGGUUUCAAGUCUUAGAUGUAAGUCCUUGAUUCAUCUUGAGUUGAUUUUUGUAUAAGGUGAGAGAUGAGGAUCCAGUUUCAUUCUUCUACAUGUGGCUUGCCAAUUAUCCCUGAACCAUUUGUUGAGUGGAGUGUCCUUUCCCCACUUUAUGUUUUUGUUUGCUUUGUUGAAGAUCAGUUGGCUGUAAGUAUUUGGCUUUAUUUCUGAGAUCUCUAUUCUGUUCCAUUGGUCUAUGUGACUAUUUUUAUACCAGUACCAUGCUGUUUUGGUGACUAUGGCCUUAUAGUUUGAAGUCAGAUAAUGUGAUGCUUCCAGAUUUGUUCUUUUUGCUUAGUCUUGCUUUGGCUAUGUGGGUUCUUUUUUGGUUCCAUAUGAAUUUUAGGAUUUUUUUUCUAGUUCUGUGAAGAAUUAUGGUAGUAUUUUGAUGGGAAAUGCAUUGAAUUUGUAGAUUGCUUUUGGCAGUAUGGUCAUUUUCACAAUAUUGAUUCCACCUAUCCAUGAACAUGGUAUGUGUUCCCAUUCGUUUGUGUCAUGUAUGCUUUCUUUCAGCAGUGUUUUAUAGCUUUCCUUGUAGAGGUCUUUCACCUCCUUGGUUAAGUAUAUUCCUAAACAUUUUAUUUCUCCUUGUAAAUUAAUAAACUGACAUUGUGAUGUCC